UCCUUGGUGGUCUAGUGGUUAGGACUUGGUGCUUUCACAGCUGUGGCCCAGGGUUCAAUCCCUGGUCUAGGAG
rnacentral:tRNA from 1 species